AAAAAAAUAAAAUCUUUUUGGAAUAUUCAUUACAACAACUUUUUUUUCAUUUUCAAAUACAAAACAGGAAAUAUGAUAACGAGAGACUCAACUCAACUAUACCACGACAAACUCCAACACCAACUAAAAGAAUCAUUACUACUGGAAAUGACUAUAAAGUACAAGACAGCAUAAAAAGAAACAGACUCAAAACAUAAAAAAUCUCCUCAAGCAACUCCUAGAUGCAACGGUCCUGACCAGAUGGUCCUGGGGUGUCUGUCAUGCUCAAACUCCAGUAAGUAGAUCCACACUUGUAUAAGAAAACUAAAACCAAAUAGAGUUAAGGAUUUAGAACAAUAUGUGAAACAAUAACACUCACUAUUGGACACAUGCAAGACAUGAUCGAGGCUAUUUUUGUAAAAUGACUUAUGUGGCCAAAAAGGUAGCUAGAAGUGCAAACUCAACAAAAGUGAACUCUAAGACAUGGAAAAAUUACUUUGUAGAAAUGACACAUUUUAUAGAAAUGGUAUAUGUGGUCAAAAAUGGCUAAGCAUGCAAAUUCAACACAAUGGACCUUAAACAGAGAGAACAUCUUAUUGUAGACCUAGGACUCUAAGAGAUGGGUUAAUUGAACCACUUUUGCAAAAAUAGCCAUACAAAACGGCCAAUGUGGCCAAAAGCGGAUAGACAUGCAAAUUCGAUAAGGAUGGCCCUUAAAGUAAAGAGACACCUAAUUGUGGAUUCAAGACUCUCCAAACAAUUAAACAAACCACUUUUGCGAAAAUAGCCAUAUUUUGCAAAAUUACCGAUGUGGCCAAAAGUGGCUAGACAUGCAAGAUUUAGCUAAGACCCCGUGAAGCCAAGAACCUAAUACUCACUAGAAAUAUCGAACCCUAUGUGGGUUACCUACAUAUCCCGCCUCGAGAGACGAGAAUCAGGUUCGCGUAAUUCAGGAAGAUUGGAUACGGGCAAGAAUUAAAAAAACAACUAAUUUAGAGAAAAUAUAUUUUUUGUCUUUUGUUUUUUGAAAAAAUGAUGAAACAUGUAAACUCUUUCUGGAUUUUCUUUUUCCUCUUUUCUUGAAUUUUUUUUUUUUGGAAAAUGAUGGGAAAGUGCAAAAUCUUUUUGGAUUUUUCACGUUCGUUUUUUUGUCUUUUUCUUGGAAAAAAAGUGAAAGAAAAAUAUAACUGGGCCUACUUGCUUCAUUUUUAUACUUCACUCUCUUUUCUUUCUCAUUUACCCUCAAUCCUUAUUGGUCCGCCAAAUGACCCCAUUUACCCUUGAAGACUGCAACAUGUAGCACAUAAGAUGCAUCAGGAUGGUCUUUUUAUUUUCGGGUUCGCUUGCCCUAGACGGACCCAACCACUGUGUUGAGUCCCCAAAGUUAAAUGCACAUGAUGCAAACAUGUGUUCCUACUAGGGAUUCGGCAUGAGGCUAAGUUAUUCUAGGUUUAAAACCUGGGUAUAUUGUUGUACACUUGGUGUACCCGAGCGGACAACUCGAGGGGGGGAGGGCUACGUACCGGGAAUCAAAAGACCAUCCGGCUUUGUAACUUGUCCGAACCUCUUUCUAAAUUAAGGUAUGACACUAACAGAAAAGAAGUCACGCCAGCGUGCACUUUCCCGAAGAUGAGAAGAGAAGGGUUUCGCACCAGUUUAUAUACAGUUCAAAUAAUAUCAAAGCGAUAAAAAGCGGCAUUUAGCACAUUAGGCCCAAACACGUAAAAAUCAGAUAAUAAACAAAGCCAAUUAUAACAAUUAUUCUAAUCUCGAAUUCUGAACCCUGAACCAGAAGUUCUGGGUUUAAUUCCCCAGCAGAGUCGUCAGAGCUAUCACACCUCCUGUUUCUACCACUGAAAGCGGUAUAUGGGAGUUUUUUAAUUAAAGAGAUAAUAAUCGAAACGGGAUUGUUUAUUUAAGUUCAGAGUCACCACUUGGGAUAAUUUAUGGUUUCCCAAGUCACCGGUUUAAAUCCCGAAUCGAGGAAGUUUAACUCUGUUUUACAGUUCGUGAAACACAAAAAUUUGGGUAAAGAAUUCUGUUAACCCAGGAGAAGGUGUUAGGAAUUCCCGGGUUCUGUGGUUUUAGCACGGUCGUUCAGUUGUUAUUAUUGGCCUAAUUAUCUAAUUAAUUACAUGUUUUAUACCUAUUGUGCAUUUUUAGCCUUUAACCGCUUUUAAUUAUUUAUGGAAAUAUUUUGAAACAAGUUACGAUUGUCGUACACUUGUUUGUUUGGUACACAUUGUGAAUCGCAUCACGGGAACCGUACCCACGAUCUACAACAUGUUUAAUGAUUAACAUUAUUAGUUGUUAUGGUCGGGUCACAUAAAUGUACCCCCGAAUUUUGGAAACUAUGUAUCAUGACUACGUCACGGGAACUGUACCCGUAGCUAUGACAAUUUUAUUAUAGCACGCCUAAAACAAACUACGAGGGUUCAUGUGUUAUACAAACAAAAUGAGAGCAUGAAGAGUUUUCUAAGCUACAGUAGCAUAAAAUUCUGUCGAACAUUUCAAAUAGGCUUUUAAAUCAAAUCUCGUAACCCAAGACAGAGUAAACUUUACUUAAUUUUACAUCAGCCUUUUGGUUUACCCAAAUCAAUCCGAACCCAAUUCGUAUACCAAGAAACAUAAUACCAUAUCAAUGUUUACCUAAGAUGUAAGGAUUUGUCAUUGACUGAAAGUCCUUAAUAUAGCUCAAACAAAUAGAUAAACAAGUCUAAUGUUGUCAUUUAAGUAUAUUUAAGGCUUUAAGCUAAUAAAAGGAAAUCAAACACAUUCUUUAUACGGAACACCAAAAAGCAUGAAAACGGGUGGUAAUCAAACUAAAACAAAGGAGUGAAAGAAUAACCUCAGGGUAGAGCCAAAAUCCUUACGAAAAUUAGAUUAAUUGCAGUUGUCCAAAUCAAAGCAUACAAAAGACUUAAACAACUUGUCGGAGGCGAAACAAGAAACCAACAAUUGGACUUGGACCGGAAAAUUGAACGGAGACCUCAACCUCGGCUAAACUUGAACCAACGAAACUCAAACAAGUUCCAUAACAAGACGAAAACUUGAUCGGCGAUGAACACUCAAACAAAUUCCGACGCGGGCAGAAUUUAACUCAUUUCCAUUGAAAUCAGAAGAUACAAAAACUUCAAAAUUCAAAUGACCUCUACAAUAAACUGUUGUUGUGUGCGUUUGUCGGUUUCAAUUAUGGUCGCCGAAAAGUCACUUCUCAUCAAAACAGGAGUUACAAGUUCGCUGACUUCCGGCGAGUUUCAUCGCAACAGCAAGAGGAGUGAAAGAGACAACAAGGUGAGGGAGAUAGAAACGGGAACAAGGUGAGGACAAAAGUCGUCGGUGGAGCUGGUUGAAAGUGACGUUGGAUGUUGUUGCUGGUUGAGAGUCACCAGACUCUGGUAGUGGAUGUGGGUUUUGGGUCUGUGAGGAUCAGAUCCGGAUGUUCUCCUAGUCUAGGGUUCUUUUAAGAAGGUGAAGAAGAGAGGGUCAGCUGGAAUUCUUAGGUCUUCUUAUUAUAUAAGAAAGGUCCAGAAAAACGGCUCCUUCCUCUCAUGGCUGCUUCUUUUUCGAAGAAGAUAAUGUCUUCGUUAGGAAAGAUGAAGGGUGCUCGUUUUUGGGGUUGUGAAGGGUGUUGUGCAGUGGAGUUUUGGUUGUUAGGGUUUUUUUUUGUUAGCUUUCAUGAAGAAGAAAAACUCAUGUACGGGGGAGGGGGGUUCGUGUUAAGCGGCUGAAGUUUUUUUUUUAGGAUCCUAGGGUUCUUUUGUUUUUGUAUCUUGUGAAGAUGAAGGAGACCCCAAAAAAUCUGAUGGGGAGGGUCCCUCUAAAAAUUACUGAUGAGGAUUUUAGGUCUAUGGUCCCAUUUAAGUGUCUUCCUAGGGUUUUAGGGGUAUUGGGCUUGGGUUAUUAUGGGCUAGGUCCGAAAAUUAUGCCUAAAAAUGGGUUGUUUGAGCCCGAAUUUUA
rnacentral:lncRNA from 1 species